rnacentral:tRNA from 1 species
GAGCUCAUCGUCUAAUGGAUAAGACAGCAAUCUUCUAAGUUGUUAAUGAAGGUUCAAUUCCUUCUGAGCCCG